rnacentral:lncRNA from 1 species
GCCACUUCCACAUCCAGGGAGCCAACUAGAAACAUCCCCAAACCUAAAAGCAAAAUAACCUGUCCAAACAGCUUUAAAGGUCCAGGAAGAUAAAUGUCAAGGGAGCUAAAAUAGUCGACAGGCCCCAGAACAUAGAAAAUAAACUUCCCUUUCAGAAAGCAGCCUUCACUUGGUUUCGUAAGCGUGUACCGCUGAAGUCUGUACUGUUUGAAGGUGAAAAGAAACAUCUGAGAAGCACCUGCCUGGAUUCUCUUCGCUCCCUCCGGCCAUGACAACCCUUAUCCCGAUUUCUACUUCGCGGCACCAAAGAGGAAAGCAGCAUUCACCAGAACGCUCCAGGCUGAAUCCGUUAGCUGGACUAGGGCACUCUAUCCGGCCCACGGGAGGACGCCACAAGCCCGAGUUCGGGUUAAGACGGUGGGAGAGGCAGCCGCUGCUGCUGCUGUUUUGCCCUUGACACGUCGCUGGGGGAUAGCGCAGACCCCCUCUGUCACGGAAAAGCGGCGUCCUGGAGAGACUGUCCAGUUCUGGGCUGCGCCGAUUCCCCUCCAGGCCUUGCCCCUAAACGUCCCCGCCCCGCGGGGGCAGCCCUGCGGGGUCUCAGAGCCGCCCGCGAGCCUGGCGGGCUGUUACGCGGCCUGGAGAGAAGGGGAGCGCUCCUCGGGGAGGGGGGGUCCCACCUGUUUUGUCGUCAGGGGGCAUCGAGGGGCUACGGUGGGGGGAUCCCGAAAUAGUGGGCGCCUGGCCGGCUGCGAUCUGGACCGAAGGUACCAACUGUCACACCGCCACCUAGGCUGUGGGGGUGGAGCCGUGAUUGGAGUCGGCCCCUGGGUGGGGGUCUCCGGACCCCGGGCGGGCUACUGCCCAAAGGCUCCCCGCCUCCCGAUCGCCCCAAUCCGACACCAGGCAGCCUUCCAGCCCGCACGCAGUAGCUCUGAAAAGGUGCCCACUGACGCCUCCUCCUUCCUCCCCGCCCCAACUUAGCCGGGGAGCCCCGCCGGCGGCCCGCCCCCUCCGAGCCCGGAUCCCGGCCGCCGGACCUCCCCGCUGUGACCACCCACGGGAGCAGCAGCUCUGGAGGACUGCCCGCCAGAAAAAAAAAGCCUCUGGCGACGCCUGGGAGCGCGACGGAGGCGCAAGAGCUCUAACCGCGCGAGGUGAAAACUCCGACUGCGUCAGAGCCGCCCCGCCCCGCCUGGGGCCCACCUUCCGCCGCCCCUCCGAGCUGCGGCGAAAACCCGGAGAGCGGCUAGGCCGGGGUCGGAGCCCGCGCAUGCCCAGUAGCCCCACGUGGUGCAAGUCGCCUGAAGGAAGGUUUUCCUCUGCUCCCCGAGCGAAGCCCCAGCGCCCAAGUUAGGAUGGACAGCGGGGAGAGCUGGCCUUCCCGCCCCGAUGCCCGCCGUCCCUGGCCGGCCCGCGCCGCACCUCGGUGGCCUACAGGCAGCCCGAGGCCGUGCCUCCCGCGGGGUCGGGGACUUGGCGAGCGGGGGAAGGGGCGCGGCUACGGGCCCGGCGUACCACGUGACUGUCCGCGGCGCUCCGGGCAGCCAUCUUCCGCCCGGCCAUCGGGCCGCGGGCGCUCGGAACCGACCUGGGAGCUGGCGGGACCGUCCUCCCCCGCCACGCCCUCCCAUCGGGCUUUGGGCGCCGGACUCUGGCCACCGCUCGGCACCUGCCUCCGCCUCGCCUUGGGGUAUAGGAGUCCUGUACCGACCCCUGGCUUGCCCAGAGGACAGGUUCUCGCCCGGGCCAGAAGCAAACUGCGGCGAAAUCGAGACAACAGAACUCAGGUGGCGGAGGGUCCCCGCUUUUCCCCAGAGGCGGAAGUUGGCGAGGGAGUCCUCUUCCGUUAUCCAGCGAGAGCGCUGCUCUGGCUGCCUCCCGGUUCUAACCUAGUCCCUGCAGAGGAGUGAUGUACCGGCAGGGACAUUGGACAGAGGCCGUGCUCUUCCCUGCAGCGCAUACCCCGCGGCCCCUGCUGGUGGGCCGCUUCGAUGGUGCUGAGGUUCAUAGUGAAUAUUUAUUGAGCGCCUGCCUCGAGUCCCUUGGGUUUCCUGUUGUCUCGGGACCUGCCGCGUCACUAUCACCCUAGAAUUUGUUAGAAAUGCACGUUUUCGGCCCCACCUAGACCUACAGAACCAGAAACUGCGGGUGGAGUCCUGCAAUAUGAUUAACAAAGCCCUCCGGGUAGUUGUCAUGGACGCCUCUAUAUUUCAGCUAAGCAGUCCAUUUUAAUAAGCUAGGCAGUGAAAAUUUCCAUAGUUUUCCCCAAAGCACAGUGAGGAGUCAGGGAUUCAAAAUGAGGCAAUCUGCCCCAAUGCAGGCGUUUUAUUGCACCCUCCACUCCUGGCUCCUCUGGUUUUUUCGCCCGUAAGACACAGUACUGCUCUUCUCAGGAAGAUUAGGAAAGUACAUUUGUCACAUACGCUUUUCAAGCACGGCUUUAAAAUAACAACUGAAAUUCAGUUCAACUGCAUGUUUUGAGUAUCUACUGGGAGCAAGGCUCUGUGAAGUAUAGUAGCCCUACUGGUUAUGUUUAUCAGUUUGCACCUAAAAGGUGAAAGGAAGGCUUGCUUUCUUGUGAUGUAAAUUUUUUCAAACUAAGGGAGUGCCAGAAAACUGCUGGCUGCUUUCUCUCCCGUGUUGGUUUCUCUCCAGUGCUAUCCAGAAUAUGCUGUAAGCUCUGGACUUCCUGAAACAAAGGUCCAAAGUCACUCUGUCACCCAGGCUGGAGUGCAGUGGCACCAUCACAGCUCCCUGCAGCCUUGACUUACAGGGCUCCAGUGAUCCUCCACCCUCAGCCUCCUGAGUAUCUGAGACCACAGGUGCAAGCCACCAUGCCCAGGAUACAUCUUACUAAGGCAUCUAAAGUACUUACUACUUCGUACUCAUGGGAUCCAAUGAUGCUCACAUAAUGUCAUCAAUAGAGUGGACCAGUGUGAUGUUUUGUGGAAUGUCAGAACAAUCAAGAUCACUUCAGACUAUUAUGGCAGUGAGCAAGAGAACUAAUGGAGCCCGUGGCAACACUGGGAAGACAUAUUGUUGGCCCUGUUGGGUAACAGCAAAUCACUUCUGAUGGACCUUGCAAAUUGGUAUGGAGGAAAAGGCAUUAGCCAGUUGUAGCAAGGAAACCAAAAGGUAUAAACAUUCACUGAUUGAAAAACAAUGUCAUAAAGUCAUCCCAGUAUCUGUGAGGAGUUGGUUCCAGGACCCCUGAGGACACCAAAAUCCUCAGAUGCUCAAGUCCCUGAUAAAAAAAUAAAAGCAGUGGUGCCCUCGGGUUCAAAAACCUGAACGGUGGUCUUCAGUUGUUCCCCCAAGCUCCUCUAUCAGAGGCCCAGACACUCCAAGAGGCUGGGAAGAGGCAAGUGGCUUUCCCUGACUGGCAUCAGACUCCUGGAUGGCUGUGUUUCUGCAUACUCCACCAUCAACAAUCAGAAGGGCACUGCUUUCUUCAAGAAGGGGACCUUGCAAAGAACUGUCUCAGAUGGACUAUCUUUGAGUUCAUCUUGUUCUGAAUGUGAGUCUGAGUCUUUGUUUCCAGAUGACACAGUGCUGUCUGAGUCCUCUGAAUCACCUGCCUCAGAGCUGCAGCAAAGUUUCUGCUGCCCAGAAACUGAAUGGGCUGCUUGUAAUGCAGAUUCUUCCUCCUGGACAAGAAGUGCUGCUGCUUCUAGUUCUUCCAGUUCUAACCCCAACUGGGCCUUUGUAAGGGAGACUUCCUUUAAGGCUUCUGCAAGAGCUGCCAACGUUUUGGAUUUGACUUUCUGAGUCCACACACAGUAGUAUGAGAUGUAGAGAUCAUUCAGUAUGUAUGCUGGGUCGUUUUCCUGAAAAAUUUUGUGAAUAUCCAGGAGACACUUUAAAACUGCACUUUUACUUAAUUGCAGUAUCUUUAUAGUCUCCCCGUAGGCCUUCAUCGCCAGUUUGAAAUGGCGAUAGAGCAGGUAACACAAUACCCUUCUUCCAAAAGACACCAUGAUAUCAUGAACAUUAGUCCAAGUCUCAAACCAGCAUAGUAUUGGACUCAAGUUUCGUGAUAUUCCAUGCAGAUUCAACGUUCUUGUCUCCUUCAGUGACACGGGUUUCUUAGCAAUAUGCCAGAAGGAUAUCAAUCGAACUGUAGUACACUUGACGACAGGCUCUGUUGUCUAGCAGAUAAGAUUUAUUGACAAAUUCUUGUAGCUGAUAUUUCUCUUCUUCAGAAAAAGACACUAAUGCAGCAUGAUUUUCUUGCUUCUGACUCUUUUCCAAAAAGGCCGUCAUUUUUUAAUAUUUGUCAGUCCACCAAGGAUUAUACUUCAAAAUCUGUUCAACUGCCUCAUCUUCAAAAAAGUCAGCUAGAUAAUGAUCAGGAUCAAACUUGGCCAGCUCGGCGGCCAGGUGCUUUUGUUUUCGUUCUGCUGCAGGGAUGAAAUCUGGAUCCUUAAUAACAUCACUCAAUUCAUCCUGUAACUGCUGAAACACUCCUGAUCGUAAGUUUCCAAACCCAUAGUGGCAUGAGGAUUCAAAGCACUUUCUGUUACCUCUUCAUAGGGUGUCUGCUCAAUUUCCCAAUCAAACUCUUCAUCGUCAACUACUUCCUCAGGAAUUUCAGAAUCACCUAUUGCUUCCACAAGUGGUUUUGCUGUCCCGGAUUUUCCUGGUGCCAGAAGAGCAACACAUGUUCAGCCCCUCAAAAUGCUGGCCAGGGGUUUCUCUGGGCAGGCGAGUGGUAAAAAUUCCUUUAUCUGCAUCAUAGGACCCUUGCUCGCUUCCGUAUCCAUAUUCUACAAUUCUUCCAGGAGGGGUUAAUCUGAGAAAGUACGGCUUGGCAUAGUAGUCUAGGCCGACCCCUCGAAGUAGACGUUGAACUCGGAGGCCGGGGCAUAGGGCACGCGGAUGGCGAUGGUCAGGAAAUCCGGCUCCUGGCUGAGGCUGAACGCCGGGGUCAGCAUCGCGGCACCAGACGCAGGGGCCAGCGCGGCUCGCCCUCGCUGCCGCGGCGGUCCCACCAAGCAACUCUCUCCAAUUUUACCUUUUUAAAAUAAAAGAUGUCUGGGCCAGGCGCAGUGGCUCACGCUUGUAAUCCCAGCACUUUGGGAAGCCGAGGCGGGUGGAUCCUGACCUGAGGUCAGGAGUUCAAGAUCAGCCCCGCCGACAUGACGAAACUCCGUCUCUACUAAAAAUACAAACAUCAGCCGGACGUGGUGGUGGGCGCCUGUAAUCCCCACUACUCGGGAGGCUGAGGCAGGAGAAUCACUUGAACCCGGGAGGCAGAGGUUGCAAUGAGCCGAGAUCAUGCCACUGUACUCCAGCCUGGGUGACAGAGUGAGACUCUGUCUCAAAAAAAAAAAAAAAAAAAAAAAAAAAAGUCUGUCUUCCAGGACACAGAAGCCUCCUAUACACACAUUUUGGCACUUGAUUAUGUUAUGUCUUUUACAGUUCUCUGCAUGUUUCUUGCAGGUAAGUCUUGAUUCUUCAAUUACAUAUUAAAUUUCUAUUGAGGAUAUAUAUCUAGCUUUCAUCUUUCAGAGUACCUAGCAUAGGACUUGGCACCAAGUAGCCCAUAGUAAACAGUUAUUCAACCAUAAUGUAUGAUUUUCUUUUCUACUUUUCACUGGUAUGUUUUUGUUUAAAAAGGGUAAACCACCAGGGAUGGAAAUGUCCUUGCUAUGUUAUCCUUCUUCUCUAAUUAGCAACCACCCUUCACAAUCUGCCACAUUACAUUUAAAAAGGAUUUUCAAAUUAGACAUUUAUGCCUGGGCAUUAACCAGGGACUGAUGAAUCAGUGCCAUCAGCAGAACACUGCCCUGACUGGCAGACAUGGCACCAUUGUCAAGACUUGUAAUUUACUCCUGGCUUUUCAAAUAGUCAGUGUGUAACUCCAGGCAAGGUUUAAUUAUCUCCUGUUAAAAUGGGAAUAAUAUGACCCACCCCCACUUUGCUUCCCAUGGGUAUCAUGAGAAUUAAUUAAUUAUUGAAUAAGAAUAUAUGUCUAUAAAAUAUUUUAUAGUUCAUUAGAGGUAAACAAAUGCAAACGUAAGAUAUUGUUCAAUGUAUUAUGAAUGUUCAUUGUUGCUGUAUUUAGUACAAAGUACCUGUAUUAUAUCAACAGUGGUAGUACACAAAAUAAUGAAUACAUGUUGGGUCAGCACCUCCUCCAAUUACCACUUGCAAACAAGUCCUGGAUGGCCAGAACUAAUUGGAAGGUUGAGACAAAAAUUAUAUCUCGCACACUAAAGAAGGGGAGAUUGAUACAGCGCGCUCACCUAAAUUUCGUAGUGCCUUCAUGAACUCUUCAAAAGCUUCAAAUCUAGGCUAGGCUACAGGAAGAACAGCAGCAACUGAAGACUGGCACCUUUUCUGGAACCUCAGCAGCACCUUCCUUGUUUCGUAAGAUUUCGAAGAAGCAUAUCAAAAUUCUUCCACCCAUUCCUUCACAGUAUAAUAGGAGAAAACAUCUAUCCUCCGUUGACACCUGGAAGAAUGAGAUUCCAACUCACUCCAGGACAUGGCCAGAAAAAUUCAACAAAAGAUUUGCUAAAUCCUCUGCACUAUUAUCUAGACCAGGAUUUCUCAACCUCAGCUCUGUGGACAUUUGGGCCAGAUAAUUCUUUGUUACCAGAGGCUGUCCUGUACAUCAUCAGGUGUUUAGCAGCAUUCCUGGCCUCAACCAAAUGGAUGCCAGUAGCACCUCCCCCACCCACUUGUGACAGCCAAAGAUAUCUCCAGACAUUGCCAAAUGUCCCCUGUUAUGGAGAAUCAUCCUCAGUUGAGAAUCACUGGUUUAGGCAAUGAUCAAAGUGGGGCAACUAAAUCAAAAGGCACUGCAAUCUUAAGUUGAUCAAGCAUCCUUCUUUGAAAUCACUCAGCACUUUCAUAUAUUGCAUUUAUAUCUUAGGUAUUCAUAUUCUAACAAUUCAGCCAAUGUUUUUUGAGUUCGCAAUGGACAAGGUACAAGAUCAAGUAAGUAAUUCUGUGUAUCCAUAAAACAGAAAUGGAUAUGGUAUGUCCCAGUUCUCCACAGUAGGCAUUUAUGUUAUUCCCAUCCCAAUAUUUAGCCCUGAUCAGGGUUGUCAAACAUUGCAUGGGACAUACUUAUCCUAAAAAAUUAUUCAUUAUUUAUCUGAAAUUGAAAUUUAACUGGAUGUCCUAUGUGUGUGCAUGUGUAUGUUUGUUUGUUUGUUUCUUUUUCUAAAUCUGAUUACCCUAUCCUAACAGACUCAAGGUUUUUUCCCUGUUCCACAAACUUUAUGACUUGACUUCAUUAAAAAUAAUAAAGAGGAAUAACUGCAAAGGCUUUAAAAAUGCUGUUAGAAUGAGUAGCACAACUGAAUUUGAGGAUACAUUUUCUUUGAAGGAUGUCUAUUUUCCUACUGAAAAUAGUGGCAAACUCCUUAGAACUCAUUCAAAGCCUGAUGGGAUUCAUUGCCUGAUUUAUUUAAAAACACUUCUGAUGCUCACAGACUAUUUAUCAUUUACACAGCAAAUGAUGUUCUUCUAGUAUUCUUGUUGGGUGAGUUAGCAUUGUGGAAGGACAUAGAGGAGAAUCAGACACAAACUUCUUAUAACCUCAUAAACAGGAAGAAAGGGAGCAGAAGCAUAGACUGACUUUACUUUCACUCAGCUUACCUUCCUAGUUCUCCAGGUGUGGUCCUCAGAAGAGGAAUAUCAUGUGACCUGGGAACUUGCUAGAAAUGCACAUCCUUGGGACCCACCCCGGACCUACUGAAUCAGAAACUCUGAGAGUGGGUCCUAGCAACCAGUGUUUUCACAGGCCUUCCAGGUGAUUCUUCCGCAUGUUCGAGUUUGAGAACAACUGCUUUAGAGCCCUGGUUCUUGACCCUGGCUACAGGGUAAAACACCUGGGGAGUUUUUAAAAUACUGAUGCAUGGGGUCCAUUCCAAGGGAGUCUGAUAUAAUUACUAUGGGGUGCAGCCCAGGCGUAAACAUUUUUUAAAAACUCCUCAACCAGAAUAACGGCUCUACAGAAAUUUUAUCAAAUGCCAAAGAAAGAGUUCCUUAUUUUGCAACUAUAGUGCUUUCUACUCUGGCCCUAAUCAACUUUCAUAAAGGCAGAAUGGACAGACAUUACGUGUUUUAAUUUGAAGACUACCAAAAGGCCGGCCAUUAAACUAGGUAUAUGGGCUCGUCCUCAAAUCCCUAAAUCUACUCCUUAGGACCUACUAUAGCCAGUGUCAUAUAAUAGAAAAGUCACUUAUUGUCCACCAGACCCUGCCCUAAUAUUUGAUAACCUCUUGGGGCCUCAUUUUCUUGUGUCUACACUGGGGAUGAUAUUAACUCUUCACAGGAUUUGGGGAAUUAUAAAGAAAGACCAUGUAGUAAAGGCAGGAAGAUCAAUAAUCAAUAAUCACAUCAGAACCUGAAGGGACUUCGUACCAUUGAAGUGAGGCAGAGGAGAGAGAAAUUUAGAAGGACAAAUUCACAAAUUUCAAUGUGUUUCUAUAAUAACUACUUAAAUUAUUUUCUCUUUGAAUUGCCUCACUGUUGUGUGUGUAUGUCCCCACUCCCACCUGUCCCAUUAUUUUCCUGUUUUCACUUGUACCUUGGCAACCCAUCUGUGGUUUUGGCCAAGCUGUUUUAAUGGCAUUGAACCUGGUAGUUUUUUUAAAAGAGUGUGGUAGUAGUUAUAUAUGGCUCGAUAACUCCUGGGGCUACAACAAGGUUAAUGCGACAGUUUUUGUUGUUUAAAAAACAUGCUUGUCUGACAAGUCAAUCAUUUUAAGCCCCUUGUUCACUUCAGGAUGGUUGCUAAAGGCUUCUCUGUGAGCUAAAAGCUCUCGCUGUUAAGGGGCUGCCUGCCCUGACUGUAUGCAUUAAAUGGAACAGUUCUCUACAUGGUUUCUUACUACAGAUGCCUUGGGAUAUAUGGACACUGGCAUUACCUGCUGCAACAGGUCCUCUCCCAGGGUACUGCUGAGACCUAAGGGCUUAAAUGCUCACCAAACCAAGUGACCUUGGAGGGCUGGUCAUGGUGGGCAUCUGGGAGCUGGGAAAGAGCAUUGGAGAACUUCAUAGGGAAACCUAGUAGGCAAAAAUGAAAGAACCCAUAAGGGCCAUUGGCAUGAGCCAUAGCUAAAGGCCACUGGGUUAGCUCUCAAAGAAAACUGCAAGAUUGAAGCAUAAAUUCCUUCAUCAUGAACCAGAAGUCAUGGAGUGGAGCCAGGGGCAAGAAAGAGAAAGAUGAAGAGGUAGAACCACCAGGAUAAAGGUGCCAAGAAAAACAGUGAGAGCAACACUCAGGGAACCAGAGACAGGAACACAGCUGGGAACUAGGAGGAGAAACCACCACAGCUGGAGCGCAAAGUGGCCAGGUCAGAAAAGCCUCAUGGAAUCCUGGUUAACUGAAUGUUUCUAUUGACUGAGGCCACUGCUUAAGCCCUGUAUUCUUUUUUAUUUCAAUCCCCAUGGUUAGAAAAAUAGUCCUAAAAUGGGUUCAUACCCUUUCCUAUCCUGCAAGAUCUUAAACAUCACUAUCUUUUCCUGCAGUAGUUAAAAGCAUGGGCUUUGGAAUCAGAAACUGGGCACAAAUCUGAGCCCUGCUACUUAUUAACUGUGUAACAUUGGUCAAAUGAAUAAACUUCCUGGAGCCUCAGUUUCCUUGCCUGUAAAAUGUGAGUAACAAUACCAACUUAUUUUCAGGUUGUGAGCAUUUCUCCAUAAUAAUCCACAUAAAACACUUACCAGAGCCCUUGGCAUACUGUGUGAGCAUGUAAUAAUGUUAGCUGUCAUUCCAAGACAACAUGUUGGAAUAAUCUACUUUUUCCAUCACUAUAUAUCUCAUUUUCCUUCUUUUUCUUCUCCCUCAAACCUGUCCCCAUUCCAACAGAUGUUUUGGCCUGUGUUCCUAGCCUCCAGUGACAGCAGAAAGCCUGUUAGAUUUCCUGCCUUUGUUUCCCAAAAUUUGAGCCCCAAGAAACUGGGACAAGAUAUUUUCCUGAGACAAGAUAUCUCAGGAAGGGGAAUGAGUGGAGCUUCUUUUCACCCCACACUAGAAAGCCAUUCUGUUUAGAAAAAGGAGACGGAAGGGAAAGAAAAGGGUGCUAUACCAGUUUUCCAGUAUCACCGUCAGGGAGAAAGCAAGGCCGGAGAGUAUCUGGGCAGAUGUAACUAUAAGCAGCCUAAUAAAGGUUCCCAAGUCCAAACCAUGAAUCCAAACGGCAGAGCUGCCAGACAUGAAAGGCCUUGCUGCCCUUCCACCCCACAAUACUUCACCUCUGGAAGCCUUGACAAUUCCAGGGAGUAUUUGCAAAACCCUGCCCCCACCCAAAAUUUUUAAAAUACUGCAUAUGAGUGAGUAAAAUGAUGCCGAGAUUUUUAAAAGGACAAGCUUACCAUCAGAUAGGUAGAAUGAGUAGUAGUGGCAGCGGUGGUGGUAGUGAUAUAGAGAUAAAAGAGUUAAGUGGAGUUACUGAAAUGUGUAGUUAUAUUUCUCACACUCUGGUGUUUGUGGAUUUGUGGGCUGAGAUUCUUAUCAAAUUCCGGAACUUGCAAUGUCUCAAGGUAAUUGUUUAAAAUAUUAAUUGUUUUACUCACACUGCAAAUGUUGAUAUAGAUGCUGGGGUGGAGGUGGGGCAAUAGGCCAGAAUAAGCCCAAGAAUACCUUGGAAUUUGCUGAAUUUCUUUCUUUUUGCAUAAUCUUAUUCACACAUUAACAUAAUAUGAACCACUCUGGCUCCAUGAGCAGCACAGAAGAGACUUUCUGCAAAUGUGAUUAUUAGGGCAAAAGUUAGGAGAUUUUUUGCCCCCAGCUUUUCUCCUCUCCUAAAAUCUUUUUUUUUUUUUCAUUUCUUUGUCAGUGUCUUUAAUUUUUUUAGCUGCAUUUAAAAGGCUUUCUAUUAUUUCUGCAUGAGUAAGAGCAUGUGUCAUGUCAGCCUCCUUGUCAGCUUCUGUUUCACUUUCAUUAAAUUUGUUGAUUGAGUGUAAAGAAGGAGGCACUGUCAUCAUUUCCAGAUUUCAUAGCUGUAGGUUAGAUCUCUCUCGGAGCAAUGCCAUGAUUACUGCUGCAAUUUUGUAAUGGAGCCCUGGAGAGACAGGGAUGAAACCAGGGAAGGCUCCUUAUCCCUUUCGUGGGUCCAGGGAGGCAGAAAGAGAGGGGAGGAGGAUGUUUCUGUUUCACCUCUAUUCAUUCAUUCAUUCAUUUGCUUCACAAAUAUUGAGCACCUCCUGAGUGACAGACACUGAUUUGGGUGCUGGAAAGCAUAAGCAGCCCUGGUGCCUGUCCUCACAGAGCCUAUGGUCUGCUGGUGAGACGGACUUAAUCAGAUAAACACACUAAUGAAUGUAUAGUUGCACCAACAGAUCCUCAUUUAAUUGAGCUGGACUAGGACCUAGGCAUCAGUAUUUUUUUUAUAAGCUUCAUAGGUAACUCUGCCAGGCCUGGGAAUCACUGGGCUAGACCAUGCAAGUUCUAAUCAUAUAGGCUCUACUCAAGCAUUAAGCAUUUUGAUUUUAUCUUUCAAGCUGUGGUGAAAACGUUACUGAAGAGAGGUGAUAUAGUAAGAUGCUCACGGUUUUUAAAAUUAAGCUUUUUUAUUUUGAAAUAAUUAUAGACUCAUAUGCAGUUGUAAGAAAUAAUACAGGGGAAUCCCAUAUAUCCUUUAUCCAGUUUCCCCAAUGGUAACAUCUUGCAAAACUAUGGUACAAUAUCACAACCAGGAUAUUGACCUUGGUGCAGUCAAGAUAAAGCAUUUUCAACACCACAUGAAUCCCUCCUGUUGUCCUUGGAUAGCCCUCCCCACUUUACUCCUGGUGACCACUAAUAUGUUCUCCAUUUCUAUAAUCUUGUCUUUUCAACAGUUAUAUAAGUGGAAUCAUAUAGUAUAGAACCUCAUGGGAUUGGCUGUUUUCUCUCAGCAUCAUUUUCUGGACAUUCAUUCAGGUUGUUUCACGUGUCAAUAGUUUGUUCCUUUUUAGAGGGCUGACUAGCGGUGUUCCAUGUAUAGGGGUGCCAUAGUUUGUUUAACCAUUCACAUGUUGAAGGACAUCUGGGUCUGCUCCAAUGUUCAGAGAUUUUAAAUAGAGCUGCUAUACACAUUUGUGUAUAGGUUUUUGUGUGAACAUGAAGUCUUUGUUUCUCUGGGAUACAUGCCCAAGUGUGCAAUUGCUGAGUUAUAUGAUAGUUGCAUGUAGAAACUAUCAUGCAUAAAGAAACUGUCAAACUAUUUCCAGAGUAUCUGCACCAUUUUACAUUCUCAACAGUAAUGUACCAGUGAUCCAGUUUCUCCUCAUUCUCAUCAGAAUUUAAUGUUGCCACUGUUUUUUAUUUCAGCCAUUCUGAUAGGUAUGUGGUAAUUGCUUGUUGUGGUUUGCUUUGAGUUUCUCUAAUGGCCAACGAUGCUGAACAUCUUUUCAUGUGCUUAGUUGCCAUCUGUAUAUUACCUUUGGUGAAGUGUCUCUUCAUGUCUUUGGCCUAUUUUCUAAUUGGAUUAUUAGCCUUAAUGUUGAGUUUUGAGAGUUUACUUUUAUAUUCCAAAUACUAGUCCCUUUUGUCAAAUAUGGGGUUUGCAAUUUUUUUCCCACUCUCCAAUUUGUUUUUUAUCCUGUUUACAGGGUCUUUCACAGAGCAAAGUUUUUUAAUUGUGAUGCAGUCUAAUUUAUCAGCUUUUCCUUUUAUGGACCAUAUUUUUGGUGUCGAGUCUAAGUCGUCUUUGCUGAGUCCUACAUCAUGAAGAUUUUUUCUUACUAAAAUUUGAUAGUUUUAAAUGUUCUCUAUUUAAGUCCGUGAGUUAUUUUGAGUUAAUUUUUGCAUAAGGUAUAAAUCUUAGGUUGAGGCUCACUUUUUAAUCUUAAGGAUUGCUCAGCAUCAUUUAUUGAAAAGGCUAUCUUCCCUCCAUUGAAUUUCUUUUGUACCUGUGUCAAAACAUCAGUUGCAUAUAUUUGUGUGUAUCAAUUUCUGGGUCUUCUGUUCUGUUCAGUGGAUCUAUGUGUCUAUUUCUCUGCCAAUACCAUAUAGUUUUGACUAUAGUAGCUGUAUAAUAAGUCUUGAAACCCUUGAAACCAGGUAAGACUGGUCCCUUUCAUAUUAGCCUUCCUUUUCAAAAUUGUUUUAGCUAUUCUAGUUCCUUUGCUUUUCUGUAUACAUUGUAGAAUAGUGUUGUCUAUAUCUAUUUUUAAAACUUGCUGGAAUUUUUUUUUAAGAGACAGAGUCUUGCACUGUUGGCCAGGUUGGAGUACAGGGGUAUGAUCAUAGCUCACUACAGCACCAAACUCCUGGGCUCUAGCAAUCUUCCUGCCUCAGUCUCCCAAGUAGGUAGAACUACAUGCAACUGCCACUACAAUCGUAUUUAAAAGUAAAGUUAAAAAAAUUUUUUUUGAGAGAAGAUCUCACUCUGUUGACUAGUCUGGUCUUGAACACCUAGCCUCCAGCAAUCCUCUUGCCUCCCAAAGCACUGGAAUUGCAAGAGUGAGCUACCAGGCCCAACCAGUAUGUUAUGUGUGCAGUUUUUUGUAGAUAUUAUUUAUUAUGUUGAGGAAACUCCCCUCUAUUGCCAUUUUUCUGAUAGUUUUUAAGAUCAUUCAUGGGUGUUGAAGUUUGUCAGAGUCUUUCUGUAUCCAUUGAUUGUUAUGAUCAAGAAUUUUUUCUUUAGCCUGUUAAUACGAUGUAUUAAAUAGCUUCAUUUUCAACUACUGAGCCAGCCUGAAAUAAACCUCGCUUGGUCAUGAUAUAUUAUUACAUAUGCUGCUGAAUUCUAUUUUCUCUUUUACUGGUCUUUUGGCUGGAGAGAGUAGGCUUUUGUUGGGGCUUUACUUGUACGUGCACAUUGUUAUUUCUGGGUUGUCAGCCUCCUUCUCUCCAAGUCUGGGAUAUAUGGGACAAAAACAUAAUCCAGGGAGCCCACCACCUUGUUAGACUUUGAGUCCCUAGAUCCCUAGGUGGUCUGGCUUCUUUUUUUCACCUUUGAAAAUCUUAUGUUUGUUUUAUACAUAAUGUUGAGAGUUUUUCGUUGUUCUUAGUGGCAGAAGUAUAGAAAGAUACUCCAUCUUCUCAAAAAUAGAAGUUCAGAUUAUGUUUUGAAAGGCACUGUAGGCAGGCCAGGGAAGGCUUGUAAAAGGCUACUGCACUGGUCCAGGUGAGGGGAGUUAGUCUGGUAGAAGGCUGUUUCUUCCACCAUUCUCCCCUCACAUUCCACUGCCCCAUUUGCAUGGAGCUGGGGUUCUACUACCCCAGUAGGGCAGCAAGAGAGAAGGAGCAGGCAAUAUCUUGGAGCAUUACACCAUGAUAAAGGGACACCAAUACCCUCCAGAUGCUAGCUGUUUCUUUCUAGAGCUUUUAAACAUUCUCCUUCAGCAGAAGAAAUAAGUCACUCCUGAAAGCAUCCUAACAAUGUGCAUUUCUCCAAAGUUUCCUUAACACUUCACAUUUAACAUGACUCCAGGUAUAAGCAACAUUAAACAAGUCAUAUCUUAUGUUACAACUUGAGUGAAACUUUAAUGAUGCUGAAUUUGCUAAUUUGCUCUGGUAUAAUGUAUUUCCUGUUUAUAAUCCCUUUUGGCUAAUAGCACUAAUCAACAGAAAACACUGACAGACUGCACAAUGGCAACAGUAAUUCUGGACAGAGAUAGUUUUAUUAUCUACAGAUGAAUCCAUGUUUCUAAAACAUUAUUUACUAUAAUGUAAAAUAUGGGUUGGGCGUGGUGGCUCACACCUGUAAUCUCAGCACUUUGGGAGGCUGAGGCGGGCAGAUCACCUGAGGUCAGCAGUUCAAGCCUAGCCUGGCCAACAUGGUGAAACCCCAUCUCUACUAAAAAUACAAAAAUUAGCCAAGUGCAGUGGUGCAUGCUUGUAAUCCCAGCUACUUGGGGGGCUGAGGUAGGAGGAUUGAUUGAACCUGGGAGGCAGAGGUUGCAGUGAGCCGAGAUCAUACCACUGCACUCCAACCUGGGCAACAGAAGGAGACUCUAUCUCAAAAAAUAAAAAUAAAAAUAAAAAUAAAAUGUAGUAGAUAAAGGUCAUAAUUUCUAUGCACCAAAGCUUUUAUAGGAGGCCUGUAUUUUAGCAAUCAACCUGUCCUUAUUCUGUUCAAAUUCAAGGGCACUUGAAUCACUUUAGAUGGUGUCACCUACAUUGGGAAGCAAUCACAGUAUAGAUAUUUUUUCUUAUUAUGUUUGCAAAAUAAACUUCACAAAAUUGUCUAGCAACCUUGUGACCACUUGUUUUCUUUUAUUGAACAUAAUAAUCCUUUUAAC